ensembl:lncRNA
UUACACUGUUAUGAAAAAGACACAGCUUAUCAUCUUAUAGUUCUAAAACAUCUAAAAUCACUCUGUUGUUAAUUCGUUUGCUAGAUUAGCCGCUAGCAUACGCAAUGUGUUGGGGCUUGUUGCUAGCUAGUUAGCGAUGCUACAGACCUGUUACUCUACGGUGUUCACACCGAAUGCGAUAGACGCGACCAGAGCGUCAGGUUUACAUGUAAAGUCAAUGGAGAAGCGUGAAGACGCGAGAUUGCGGGUCCCGCGAAAAUUCAGAAGCAGAUUUGCGUCGCGAAAAUGCGUCAAACGCGCGUCAGUGUAGUGCGUUUGACGCGCGAGUAAAAAUGCGCGCGUCAGUUUUUGUGUUGCAUUUUGUGCAUUCGCUCAUAUCGCGUCUAGCACUCGAGUUGGAAAAAUCUGAACUCCAGCGUCAGUUCGCGCCGCGACAACCAAUCAGGAGCCUGGUGACGUGGCUCUGACCUAGGUCAAAGGGGCAGGUCCAGCCAAAGCCCUUCAUUCUUCAUUCAAUAUGGAGGAAAGGCUCAUAAGGCUCAUAAGUGCAGUGGCUAACCACCCAGAGCUGUACGAUGCCAGCUGCUAUUUCUACCGAGACAGGAAUAAAAAGGACCUAGCUUGGAGGCACAUAAGUGAGAGGACAUCUGCAGGAGAAAGUGGAAGAGCCUCAGGGACACAUAUAACAAGGAGAAGAGGACAGAGAAGGAGAAGAGGAGUGGGUCUGCAGCAGGAUCGGGGAGGAGAUGGAAGUUCCUCGCGGUCAUGGGGUUUCUGGACCCCUUCCUCACCCCGCGGGAGACAAGUGGCAAUAUGGUGCGGAUCGUGGAGAACUUCCCCCCUGAGGACCAGGUACAGCCCGGAGAGGCAGCAGGGGAGUCCCAGUCAGAAGAACAAACUGAUUCUGCAGCAGAGCCAUCCCCUGUUGCUUCUCCUUGCUCCCCAGUCCCUGGUCCCUCCACUCCUGCUGCUGCACCCACAGGCCCACAGAGGAGGACAGCUCCGAGGCGGACGAGGGACGGGUCCCAGGACGGUCCAUCGGCGGUGGAGCUGGCCAUCCUGGAGUCUCUGAAGAGGCCACGCCAGUCUCCAACGGAGCGUUUCCUCCUCAGCCUUGUUCCUGCUCUGGAGAGCAUGCCGCCUCAGACGCGAGAAUUCGUUAAAUUUCAAAUUUAUAAAUUAGUUUUUGAAAACGGCACAGCUGUGUUAAAUUUGGAAACAUUGGACCCUAGCGAUCAGUAGUUUUCUGAUGAGGCAGCAGCUCUCCAGGGCAGAAACAAUGUUCUUAUUUUUCUCCUCCUUCUCCCUGAGGCUCUUCCACUCCAACCUGGGUCCUUUUUAUUCCUGUCUCUCUGUAAAUAGGUAUAUUUUAUAUAUUUAUGUUUAAUGUUUUUGUUAGUGAAUUUUAAAAUUUCUUCCAAUAAAUAUUUGUAAUGAC